rnacentral:rRNA from 1 species
CACUACAACGGGUGGAGCCUGCGGUUAAUUGGAUCAACGCCGGAAAUCUCACCGGGGCGACAGCAAUAUGAAGGUCAGGCUGAAGACCUUACCCGAUUAGCUGAGAGGUGGUGCAUGGCCGUCGUCAGUUCGUACCGUGAAGCAUCCUGUUAAGUCAGGCAACGAGCGAGACCCACGUCCACAGUUGCCAGCAUACCCUCCGGGGUGAUGGGUACACUGUGGAGACCGCCGCUGCUAAAGCGGAGGAAGGAGUGGGCAACGGUAGGUCAGUAUGCCCCGAAUCUCCCGGGCUACACGCGGGCUACAAUGGUUGGUACAAUGGGCAUCUACCCCGAAAGGGGAAGGAAAUCUCUUAAAGCCAAUCGUAGUUCGGAUUGAGGGCUGCAACUCGCCCUCAUGAAGCUGGAAUCCGUAGUAAUCGCGUUUCAACAGAACGCGGUGAAUACGUCCCUGCUCCUU